GACGGAGGAUGCAAGUGUUAUCCGGAAUCACUGGGCGUAAAGCGUCUGUAGGUGGUCAAAUAAGUCAACUGUUAAAUCUUGAGGCUCAACCUCAAAAUCGCAGUCGAAACUAUUAGACUAGAGUAUAGUAGGGGUAAAGGGAAUUUCCAGUGGAGCGGUGAAAUGCGUAGAGAUUGGAAAGACCACCGAUGGCGAAGGCACUCUACUGGGCCAUGACUGACACUGAGAGACGAAAGCUAGGGGAGCAAAUGGG
rnacentral:rRNA from 1 species